CCAACAGACGUUAAGAACUAUAGACCAAUCUCUUUAAUACAGAUAUGAAAAUAUAUGCAGCAAUAUUAACAGGUAGAUUAAAAUCACUUGUCGAGAGAGUCGUUCAUUCUGAUCAGGUUGUUUUUUUGCCAGGCAGAUCUUCUGAUACUUGUACCAGAAGAAUAGUGAACAUUUUGGAUGGUGCACUCCGUCGGGGGAUUCCACUGCUGACCCUGUCGUUGGAUGCUGAAAAGGCCUUUGACAGGGUCAGUUGGGGCUUCCU